AGAAAUGGAGUUGGUGGAAAACAUUUUAAGAUAUACGCCAACAACAUCCGAAACACCAGCUGUAAAUUGUUCAAAUAUCCUCCAGCAUGUAUGUAGGGAUGAUGACUUGUUGUUUUGUUCAUAUUACCAUUCGAUGACCGGUGCUUGUCAUAAACCAAUCGAUAAAACUUCGGAAGAUUUCUUCAGUAGAUGUUCCCUAUUCUGUAAAAGAUGUUUGGACUAUUGUCAAUAUAUUUCCACUAAAAUCAUCCAAGCUACAG